GACUGCGUGGUGUAAUGAUCAGCACACUCGACGCGUAUUCGAGAGGUCCGAGGUUCGAUUCCCGGCGUGGGCA
rnacentral:tRNA from 1 species